UACCAGCACCCCGAGUGGUCGGGACGUUUAUUGGGCCUAAAGCAUCCGUAGCCGGUUCUGCAAGUCUUCCGUUAAAUCCACCUGCUCAACAGAUGGGCCGCGGAAGAUACUAUAGAGCUAGGAGGCGGGAGAGGCAAGCGGUACUCGAUGGGUAGGGGUAAAAUCCGUUGAUCCAUUGAAGACCACCAGUGGCGAAGGCGGCUUGCCAGAACGCGCUCGACGGUGAGGGAUGAAAGCUGGGGGAGCAAACCGG
rnacentral:rRNA from 1 species